UGAAUAAACGUCUGUGAGAUUGUAUUUGCUUUCAUAAGGGGCCGGCAAAAUGGAUCUUUCCCUAGGGUGGCAGGAAUCUUUGCUCCGGCCCUGGUGGCAAAUAUGCCUAUGCCACGAGCUCCUGGAGGAGCCUGCUAGCUAGCCUCCUGCCCAAGGACUUUGGGCAAUGUAACCGACUAAUCUGUCCCUUAAAAUACUCUGUUCGUACGUUCUCCCUUCUUC